GAUGAAGAACGCAGCGAAAUGCGAUAAGUAAUGUGAAUUGCAGAAUUCAGUGAAUCAUCGAAUCUUUGAACGCACAUUGCGCCCGCCAGUAUUCUGGCGGGCAUGCCUGUUCGAGCGCCAUUUCAACCAUCAAGCCCUGCUUGCGUUGGGGUCCUGCGGCUGCCCGCAGGCCCUGAAAACCAGUGGCGGGCUCGCUAGUCACACCGAGCGCAGUAAUACAUCUCGCUUUGGGCGUGCGGCGGGUUCUUGCCGUUAAACACCCCCUUUUUACCAAGGUUGACCUCGGAUCAGGUAGGAAUACCCGCUGAACUUAAGCAUAUCAAUAAGCGGAGGA
rnacentral:misc_RNA from 1 species